rnacentral:rRNA from 1 species
GAUCCUGGCUCAGAUUGAACGCUGGCGGCAGGCUUAACACAUGCAAGUCGAGCGGGGGAAGGUAGCUUGCUACCGGACCUAGCGGCGGACGGGUGAGUAAUGCUUAGGAAUCUGCCUAUUAGUGGGGGACAACAUCUCGAAAGGGAUGCUAAUACCGCAUACGUCCUACGGGAGAAAGCAGGGGAUCUUCGGACCUUGCGCUAAUAGAUGAGCCUAAGUCGGAUUAGCUAGUUGGUGGGGUAAAGGCCUACCAAGGCGACGAUCUGUAGCGGGUCUGAGAGGAUGAUCCGCCACACUGGGACUGAGACACGGCCCAGACUCCUACGGGAGGCAGCAGUGGGGAAUAUUGGACAAUGGGGGGAACCCUGAUCCAGCCAUGCCGCGUGUGUGAAGAAGGCCUUAUGGUUGUAAAGCACCUUAAGCGAGGAGGAGGCUACUUUAGUUAAUACCUAGAGAUAGUGGACGUUACUCGCAGAAUAAGCACCGGCUAACUCUGUGCCAGCAGCC